UCAGAAAUCAAGCUACAAAAAAGAACCAGAAGUCCAAGUAUGCAAAAUGUUACACCAAAAAAAAGUCACCCUCAAAAUGUUACACCAAAAGAAGUCCAAGUAUGCAAAAUAUAUUAUAAAGGAGGGCAAGGAUCUUGAGACUUAUUUAGACAAGUACUGGGCUCCUCACCCUCAAACUAGUGUAUUUGUCCACCAACCCAUCACACUGGUUUCAAAAUCAUGCUUGCCACUGCUACUUUACAUUCUAUAUUGGAGAAUAGGUACUUAGCUUUUUUACUUAGAAAUAUGAAAGAGGGUAUAAUGUGCACCAGCAGAAACUGAAGGAAAUGUGCACCACAUUACUAGCAUCAUGAUUUCAUACACCAGGGUAGCAAUAAUAUCUACAAAAUUACGCACCACAACACCAAAAUUUCAGUAGCACAAAAUGAAACAUUAGUAGAUCAAUUGCAGUAGGUUGCCAUGUGUCUAUUAAGUACAUAUUCAAGAUCAAAAAGCGAGAAAUUAUUGUACGCGAUGCCAGUGGGUUUCGUCACUUCAAAGAUGGUUGUUGUUCUUGUGGAGAUUUGGUGACAAUCUGACUGUAGGGGUUACAUGGCUCCAGAAUAUGCAAUGCGCGACUACUUAACUAGUAAAGCAGAUAUCUACAGCUAUGGAGAAGUUGCAUUGGGGAUUGUUCGUGGGAAAAACGUACAAAUUAUAGGCCAGCGGAAGAUUGUGUUUAUCUUCUUGACUGGGCUUAUGUUAUGCAAGAGUGCGGGAGUAUAUUGGGAUUGGUUGAUCCAGACUUAGGUUCCAACUACUCAACACAAGAAGC